GACGAACGCUGGCGGCGUGCCUAAUACAUGCAAGUUGAGCGCUGAAGGUUGGUACUUGUCCCCACUGGAUGAGCAGCGAACGGGUGAGUAACGCGUGGGGAAUCUGCCUUUGAGCGGGGGACAACAUUUGGAAACGAAUGCUAAUACCGCAUAAAAACUUUAAACACAAGUUUUAAGUUUGAAAGAUGCAAUUGCAUCACUCAAAGAUGAUCCCGCGUUGUAUUAGCUAGUUGGUGAGGUAAAGGCCCACCAAGGCGAUGAUACAUAGCCGACCUGAGAGGGUGAUCGGCCACAUUGGGACUGAGACACGGCCCAAACUCCUACGGGAGGCAGCAGUAGGGAAUCUUCGGCAAUGGACGAAAGUCUGACCGAGCAACGCCGCGUGAGUGAAGAAGGUUUUCGGAUCGUAAAACUCUGUUGGUAGAGAAGAACGUUGGUGAGAGUGGAAAGCUCAUCAAGUGACGGUAACUACCCAGAAAGGGACGGCUAACUACGUG
rnacentral:rRNA from 1 species